UAACUAUAAAAUGAGUGACAAUUAGUAUUUAGGUCUUAAUGAGUUUUAAACGAAUAUAUAUGUAUUUCUCAUAAGAAGACAAUAGCGUUGGCAUAUUGACAUUGAGCAUAUAAGCUAUUUUUAUAAGACAAGAGGAAUGAGCAGGUGGAGAUGUUGUUCCCGCAUUUGUGUCUGUUGAGAUUGUCUCUUGUAUCUCCUGGUGUGGCUGUGUUUGUUUCUCUUUUAUUUGAUGGGUAAUAUGUAAACAAAAAUCAUUGUUAGUUGUAUUUAUCAAAGUUUGUAACUUACUCUGCUUUUUUGUUUAGGUAAUUUCACUGAUCUUAAUUGUCGUCUUCGUCUUCUUCGUAAGCAUCUGUGAAAGUAAGUUUGU
rnacentral:lncRNA from 1 species